AGAACGACCGGAUCGGAAUCAGGCGCUGCUACGGGAGCAGCGAGAGCCGGCGGGAGAGGAGAUCAAGGGCGCCUGCAGGACGAGCCCCCUGGGCCGAUCUGACGCCCUGGGCGCCUGCGGGAAGGGCGGCUGGGUGACGCCCGAGCGGGACAGGCCAGCAGCCGAGCUCUCUGAGCGCCGGCUGGACGGGAGCGGGACGGGCGGCUGGGUAGGAGAUCGGGGGCUCCUGAGCGCCGGCUGGACGGGAGCGGGACGGGCCGGCAGCCGAGCGGCUGGAAGACACCCGAUCGGGACGGGGCCGGCAGCAGAAGCCUUGCUAGCGGCUGGCUGAAGAGGAGAUCGGGGGCUCCUGCGGACGAGCCCCCUGCUUCGAUCGAGAGACGAAGAGGAGAUCGAGCGGAUUGCUUCGAUCGAACAGACGGAUCAAAAAGCACGAGUUGCAGCGUGCAAAAAAUUGACCUAGCUCUAAUACCAUGUUAGGAAUAUGCAACUUGUAUUCCCAUGAGGCCAUAGGCCGAUAUAUAUAUACAUGUACAGGUGUGGAACAUAUGCAGGAAACCCCUCAUACAACGAGAUAAAUAUAAAGGGGUACAUGACUUAUAUUAUAACUCUAACACGGCUCUCGCGCCUCCGGUGGCUCGUCAAGCUCAGCCCGACGGCUGGAUUCCCGUGCACUGACGCGCUCGACCUGCAGCCCGAGAUGCUCAAAGCUGCUGCCCGUGCCCGUUGCCCCCACCACCGUUGUCGUGGGACAAUCCACCAGCCGAGCCAGGGACAACGCUCGAUCAGGAGCUGUCGAGGUCGUGGGCAGAGGAGAGGACGGCGAGGCAGAGAUAGGAGAGGAAGGCAGGCAGGGGAGAGGGGGGAGUGCGAGGCGAAGGACCGGCGAUGUUGGUUUUGCUCGAACAGGAGAUCUUUAUUUUUAGAGGAAGGGACGGAAGGUUAGAGAAGAAGGGAGGCGUGGUGGGCGCACGACCCGGUCAAAAUCAGGGUCACCCAUCCAAAUUAAUUCUCCUCAAUUGAUUCUUAACCCUUCCACCCCUAGGGAGCUUAGUGAUAUAGUAGAUAUGAAUUAUCUCUAAUGUGAUUAGGUUAUCUUCAUAUGCUUCAUUUUGAUCUCAUUAUAAUUGCUAUACAAGCUGCGAAGUCAGCAAGUACUGAAUUCAGUUUAUUGUUGAUGAUGCGCUUAGUAGAUUCUUUCUUUGCUCAGCAAUCUGAUGAACACACCAAUUGUCAAUUGAUACUGAAGAGGGUUCAAAAUCAUCUCUAAUGUGGGUAAAUUAUCUUCAUAUGCUUCAUUUUGAUCUCAUUAUAGUUUAUGUUUUAGUCCAGCAUUCUGGAUACCCAAUCCCAACUAGCACUCGAUGGAGGAUCUCCCGGAGGCACUGCUGGCAGAGAUCAUCAAGAGGGUUACCAAAAGAAGUGACUUGAAUUCUCUUUCCCUUGUCUCGAAGCGUCUCUUCGCCAUCCAGGCUGAGCAAAAGGGGUCCAUCCGGGUUGGUUGUGGCCUUUGCCUUGCCACUGAAGCUUUGGUGUCACUCUUCUCCCGGUUCCCCAAUUUGUGGAAAGUUGAGAUCGAUUAUGCUGGCUGGACACCUUCCCACGGGGAUCAGUUGGACAACCAUGACCUCUUUGUGAUUAUAUCUUGCUGUCCCUCUCUAACCGAUCUCACACUAAGUUUCUGUUCACAAAUCGAUGACACCGGUCUUGGUUAUCUAUGCUACAGCGAGAAAUUGACUUCCCUCAGGCUGAACUCUGCAACUGAAAUAACUUCUUGUGGACUUCUCUCGGUUGCAGUUGGUUGCAAGAGUCUGUCUUCCCUCCACCUUAUCAACUGUGAGAAAGUAGGCAGUACCGAGUGGCUGGAGUAUCUAGGCUUGAAUGGAUCAUUGGAAGAAUUUGUACUCAAGAAUUGCAAUGGAAUCAGCCUGUAUGACCUCAUAAUGCUUGGUCCAGGAUGGAUGAAGCUACGCAAGUUUGAAUUUCGAAUGGGAGGAUUAUGGGAUGUUCAUGAGGGAUAUGAUCAUAUGGAAAUCGAUGGUUAGUCAUGAAGCUGACAAUUGAUGUUUCAUGCUGCCAUGAUUGUUGUUUGGCUUGUGAGCAGUUAAUUUGGGGAAAAUUGCCAGGGAGAAGAAUGAGAUUUCGAGGGUCUUCUAGUUGAUUAUUUUUAUUAAGAUGUCAUGCUGUAACAUCUGUCACCAAGAGACUUAACACAACAAAUUAUCGGAGCUUUCAUCAAUUAAAACAUCAACAUCCUGGACCAUUACACUGUGGAAAACGUACAGAAAUGCCGGCCAUGCAGUUGCUCUGGCUAGUGCAUGGCCUGAGAAGCAGGAGGGAACAUGCAGGAGAAAACUACUUGCCGGUACUUUAUCCCUUGUUAAUUCAUGUUACUUUUCUGGAACAAAUGUAAGAUGGCAUGGUCAGUUGUUCUGCUAUGGUGGAAUUCAGGAUCCCAUAUCAGAAGAAUUUACUAGAGGACUGUUGAUGACUUGUUUCCUCAGAUUAUUCCAGAUGCAGAAGUAAACUCGGAAGAGAAAGAUGAUAGCAUGGUAGCAUCUUCAAAUGGUAUGGGGUGCACAGCCCUGAAAGUAUGGAAUUAGUAUACACUAGGUGGUUUUCCCAUGUUACUUGAAGGCUAUCAUCUUUUAUGGAGCAGUCUACUCUCGGAAGCCCAAAAUGGGAGAAUUAACAGCACGAUCGGUUUAAGUGGCAGGAGCUCACGGUCUUCAUCAGCUAGUUGCCCAUGGGGUCAGUGGUGAAAUGUAGCUGAAGAAAUCUCUCUGUAUUCUGCAAUUGGAUGAAAUUUGGGCAGCCAUGUGCCCAUGUGGGUCUCAGAAGGCAAAACAAAAAGCUAUUGAGAUGAUGCUUGAUAAGUUAUUGCAAAUUUUCAGUGUGGUUUGCAGCUGUUAUGCACUAUAGACAAUAUAAAAAUAUCCACUAGGGAGAAUAUAAUCUGCUUACUUAGUGUAAACUAAAUUAAUUGCUAAUUGCUCUAUUUCUGUACUAAUUCCUAGUUCAAAUUGGAUCUUCAUCCUGACAGGAAAUUUUAGAGUGUUUUAUUGUAUUUGCCCAUCAUUUCUGUAUGUCAUAAUAAAUGAAGUUGUGUCAUAAAUUUUUUUUUGA